rnacentral:rRNA from 1 species
UACGUAGGGGCAAGCGUUGUCCGGAUUUAUUGGGCGUAAAGAGCGUGUAGGCGGCCUGAAAGGUCAGCUGUGAAACUCGAGGCUCAACCUCGAGACGUCGGUUGAAACCAUCUGGCUAGAGUCCGGAAGAGGAGUGUGGAAUUCCCCGGUGUAGCGGUGAAAUGCGCAGAUAUCGGGAAGAACACCCGUGGCGAAGGCGGCACUCUGGGACGGUACUGACGCUGAGACGCGAAAGCGUGGGGAGCGAACAGG